CCUACUCCUACGGGAGGCAGCAGUAGGGAAUCUUCCACAAUGGGCGAAAGCCUGAUGGAGCAACGCCGCGUGUGUGAUGAAGGGUUUCGGCUCGUAAAACCCUGUUGUAAGAGAAGAAUGACAUUGAGAGUAACUGUUCAAUGUGUGACUGUAUCUUACCCAGAAGACGGACCGCGCUAAAUACGUGCCAGCAGCCGCGGUAAUAA
rnacentral:rRNA from 1 species